AAGGAUAUACCUGUUCCCAUGUCGAACACAGAAGUCAAGCUUCUUAACGCCAAGAGUAGUUGGGGGAUCGCCCCCUGCGAGGGUAGGACGUUGCCAUGC
rnacentral:rRNA from 2 species